AACGAACGCUGGCGGCAUGCCUAACACAUGCAAGUCGAACGAGACCUUCGGGUCUAGUGGCGCACGGGUGCGUAACGCGUGGGAACCUGCCCUUAGGUUCGGAAUAACUCCCCGAAAGGGGUGCUAAUACCGGAUAAGGUCUUCGGACCAAAGAUUUAUCGCCUUUGGAUGGGCCCGAGUUGGAUUAGCUAGUUGGUAGGGUAAAAGCCUACCAAGGCGACGAUCCAUAGCUGGUCUGAGAGGAUGAUCAGCCACACUGGGACUGAGACACGGCCCAGACUCCUACGGGAGGCAGCAGUGGGGAAUAUUGCACAAUGGGCGAAAGCAUGAUCCAGCAAUGCCGCGUGAGUGAUGAAGGCCUUAGGGUUGUAAAGCUCUUUUACCCGGGAUGAUAAUGACAGUACCGGGAGAAUAAGCUCCGGCUAACUCCGUG
rnacentral:rRNA from 1 species